rnacentral:rRNA from 1 species
AUUGAACGCUGGCGGCAGGCCUAACACAUGCAAGUCGAGCGGUUGAAGGGAGCUUGCUACUGGAUUCAGCGGCGGACGGGUGAGUAAUGCCUAGGAAUCUGCCUGGUAGUGGGGGAUAACGUCCGGAAACGGGCGCUAAUACCGCAUACGUCCUGAGGGAGAAAGUGGGGGAUCUUCGGACCUCACGCUAUCAGAUGAGCCUAGGUCGGAUUAGCUAGUUGGUGGGGUAAAGGCCUACCAAGGCGACGAUCCGUAACUGGUCUGAGAGGAUGAUCAGUCACACUGGAACUGAGACACGGUCCAGACUCCUACGGGAGGCAGCAGUGGGGAAUAUUGGACAAUGGGCGAAAGCCUGAUCCAGCCAUGCCGCGUGUGUGAAGAAGGUCUUCGGAUUGUAAAGCACUUUAAGUUGGGAGGAAGGGCAGUAAGUUAAUACCUUGCUGUUUUGACGUUACCAACAGAAUAAGCACCGGCUAACUUCGUG